UACUUCAAGCCUAAGCGCGCGGUUCGAAAAUUCGUGUGACGUCACGACUUCUGGUCAUAAUAAACUUCGGAACGCAUGCAGUGGCUCUUUGCUGAUUGCUGAAGCUUCUUACGUUGUGCGAACGCUGAAGCAGAAUACUUUGAUUUUUUUAUGGUUUUAAGGUUGGAUGUAUUUUAGAGAGGUAUUCAUAACGAAGAAAGGAGUGUUUUUAUCAUGAAAUGGCUCUCAGGUGUAAAAAUGCAUAGGAUAUAUCUUAGUUUAUUGAAGUUAAGAAUUGGUGCUUUGUGGACUAAAAAAUAUGUGCAAUAUCCAUUGUCACACCACUCUGUUCAAGAAUAUCGAUCAGUCCUGAAUGAUAAAGAAAAUGAUUAACAAAGGAAUAUCUAGAACUUGAUUGUGUGCAUGAUUUAAUUCCAAAUAUAAGUAUUGGAAUAAUUCAUCCUCCUUAUUUUCAACAAAAACUCUUCAUUUGGUAAUAUACAUUUGUGCUUAUCAGUGUGGUGUCUUGUGUAACAAAUCGUCAGUAUUAUAAAAUAGAUGGAAAGAUCUUUGGUUAUUGCAAGAGCUUUAUGUGCUGAAGAAGUAAAAAAAAAAUGUCCCAGAUAAUUGUGGAUAUUAUGAAACUGAGUAUCAUAAGAAUGGAAAAAUAUUUCUUAAACAAAUUACCUUGUGAUGCAUGUAAUGGGUAUGUUUAUUUUAUUUCAUAUAACUGUAAAUUUAAUUAUUGAUAAUAAGCAAACUUUUUUUUUUUCCCUAAAAUGCCAUUGGUGUAUUGUCAUUAUUCUAUAUUGACAUGUAUUCUCUUACAUUUAUCAUUGAAACCAGAGAUUUUAUAAUAGAAUAUGGGAAACUUGUGUUGAAGGCCUGUUGAUUGAAAUACAAGUGACCAUUACAUCUUUGGAAUUUGCAUUCUCAUUGCCAAUUUUGAAAAGACAUUCUUUUACAUUUUCUUAAAAAAGUUAACAUUCUAAUGACUUUAGAAGUAAACAUUGGCGACUUCAUAUGAACCAGUCUCUUGGCGAGUUUAGCAAAAAAUUUGCCGAUGGCUUCCCCAUAACAGAACUGUACUGGAUUCUAUACCUGAAUAUUGCAUUAAAAGGAGAGAAAAACCAUUUAUUAUGAAGAUAAUAAAUGAUUCAUAUUACGAAUGUUCAUUUCUUAUAAUGAUCGAGUUUUAUAUUCUUGCAUUGUAUUUCUUUUGUGUCAACACAGAAUAAAUUGUGUCGGAUUUCAGUUAUAAUGAUAUGUGUAAAGAUGCUGUAAUAAAAUUUGUUAUAAAUGUA
rnacentral:misc_RNA from 1 species